GGUAUCCAAACCGUUCCAAUAGUCGACAGUUUAAACCCACCGACUACUGGAACGGUUUAACCUCAG
rnacentral:pre_miRNA from 1 species